ACGAGGUUCGUGGGAAUCCAGAGACACUCUUGCCUAGCAGAUGCUAGCAGUGUCAUAGCUCUAGGCCUGUGACUCCCCUGGGAAUAUCCCUGGAGAAACUCGACAUCCUCUGUGAGAAAUAUUGAUUUGAAACAAGCAGCUUUUCUCCUUUGUCCCCACUCACUGCCUUCCAUCUCCAAAAUUCUCUCUUUUCCCUCCUUCUCCCUUCUCUCUGGCCUGUCCUCACCUUCCUCCUUACUCACUCACUCCUUUUGCAAGGAUCCAGGGAUUCAAUGGGUUUUCCUUUGAUUUUUCAAGCAGUCUCCCUUCCUCACACCCCCAAGGACUCCUAGAGCUAACCUUGACCUCCGCCACAAAGCCUCGCCUUUCCUACUGAACAUGAAUGAAUAACACUGUCACCCUCAUCUCUUCCUGGUGGGCAAACUUUUUCAGAGCAUCUGAGCUGGCUUUCCCUUUAACUUUGCUGUCUUUAUUCAUACCUGCUUUUCCUGGAUUGAUCAAGUUGCAGCUGUUUUUCUCUUUAACUUCCCCCUUCAGUUUCAGCGAAAAUAAACUACUUCCUGACUUCAGUGGCUGGCGGUAGACAGGUCAUCCUGAGUGAGAAGCCCAACUCUAGAGCUGGAGGAAGUGAACUCUCAGCAUUGUUUGCCUAUUGGUCAUCCUUUGGUGUGAAUGGAUUUAUCAGAGAUCUACUUCUUUUGGGGAUUUGAUCAGGAAAAAUUAAAAGAGGUGGAAACGGAAGUUCAGAUGCUCUGGGUCACAUGAAGGAUUAAAUGCGCAGCCAGAAUUUGCCCUGGGACUUUGAAACUAAAAUUUGCAUGCUUUCCACAAGUCCUUUCUGUUAUUUUUGAAUGUCAUUCCCAUUUCUAGGUGAAUCUUGGUAAUUUUCUUUUUUGUAUCAACUAGUUUCUAAGCAAGAGUCAAGCUUUUGAUGUUUAUACUGCAGAGAAAAAUCCCAGAGCUACACGGUUGUCUUUUCUCUUAAUCUUCUAAUUUCAGAACACGACAUAUCAUGUGUGCAACAAAAGGGUGACUUAGGUCUUGGUCCAGCCUGUGAUUGCCUUUGUUUAUGCUUUUGUCCUGGAAUAAUUAUUAAUAGUGGUCUCUUCACUAUCCAGAAGGUCCUAGUUAGGAUGAUAAAGUCUAUGGUCAUCAACCUAAUGAAGAUCUUAGAACAUGGAAUCAGUAGGUAUCAAGCUUUGUCUAUUUUGCAUAAAUAAGUUAUUUAUUAGCCUGGGUUUUUUUUCUACUAAUAGUUUCCAAAGUUCUUUUAUCUCAUAAUAUUUUUCACUUAUAGCUUAGAGCUUCAUUGAGAUUUAAAUAUUAUAUGGCUUCUAGAUUAAUGGUUAUGCUAACUUAUUCAUUUAUUAAUCAUUUAGUAAUCAUUGAUUUCUCUAAGAAUGGAGCUAUACAGUUUAUACCCUGUGUCACUCAACUUUUUGUCACCGUGACCAAAAUACCUGAUUAGAACAAAUUAGAGGAGAAAAGGUUUAUUUGGGCUCAGGGUUCUAGAGGUCUCAGUCCAUGAUCAGCUGGCUCCAUUAUGGCUUUGGGCUUGAGACCACAUGAUGGAAGGGCACAGGGGAGGAAAGCUGCUCAUUUUAUGGCAUCCAGGAAAGAGAGAGAGAGAGAGAGAGAGAGAGAGAGAGACCCCAGAGACAAGAAAUGCCCUUUGGGACAUGUCCACAGUGAUUUACUUCCUUUAAUCAGGUCCCAUCUCCCACAGCCUCCACCACCUCUCAGUAUUUCAUUUAGCUCUCAAUGGACUGGUCCACUGAUGAGGUCAAAGCCCUUAUGAUCCAAUCAUUUCUCCAAACCCCACAUCUGAACAUUGUUCACCGGGGACCAAACGUAUAACACAUGAGUGUUUGGGGGACAUUCCAGGUCCAAAACAUAACAUACCAGUUAUCUCAUUUAAUAUUCACAAAACUCUAUGCAGUGGGUACUAGUGCUGCCCUCCUAUGUCAAAACUGAAGCAUAAAGAGGAUAAGUUACUUGCCCUGGGCUCAGAGCCCUUUGUCAGAGAAUGAGAACUUUAGCCUAUGUCUGAUUUCAGAGUCCAUAAUCCAAAAUGGUACACUGUAAUUGGGCCCUCCCCUCUUACCCAUUCUACAAAGGCCCGUUUCUUACAUAGCCAUGGAGUAAUAGUUCUUGUCACUAAUUAUUUGUCAGAUGAAGUAGAGCAUAAAGAAGAGUACAAGGACAAAAGUUUUACAUCCAAUAUGCCAUUGGAAACACCACCUCUUCAUAUACAGUUCUGACUUUGGCUCUAAGACUAUUUGUAGAGACUAUAAAAUAGUUCAGCUUCAAAUCUCAUCCUUUGUUUCAGCAUAGACUAAAUAUCCAAAAAAAAUGUAUUGCCUACUCUCUUCAUCUAUAUAUUUUAAAAUGGCCUGCACUAUUUAAAGUCAGUAACUUGGCCAGCAGAAUUUAUAACUUCUAACAUUUUGAGUUAAUUGAAACUAAGCCCAUUUUAAUUAUUCAUGUAGAUUUACAGUAAGGAAGGCUCGGAGGGACUGAGUAUAAAUGAAUGGUAUUCAAACCAGUCAGCCAAAUAUUUGUUAUAAAGUUGAAGCAUUGAUACAAAGAUAGAGCAGAGAGAUAGAAUUUUAUCAAGUUACAGGCUAUUGGGCAGAAGGGCUAAAAAAGGUGGAAGUUUGAACUUUGGAAGUGGGGAAAAAUAUCUCUGAAACUCUACCAUAAGUCCUCAUAUGAAAAAGAAAAUCAAAAUAGUAUGGCCAAGGGUUACAGUACAUCCAAGAAGAGUUAGUCAGUGUUCAGGCAGAUGAACUCUUAUUUGGUACUAAAAAUUUAGUCAUUACUGAAUGUGAAUUCUGCCCCCAGGGAGGCUGGGAUAAUAGUAAAUAUGAAAUACAAAAUCAAAUAAAUGUGUUGUUGAACAUUUUGCAAUGUUUGAGGCAAUAUUUUGGGGAGAGGAAGUGGAAAAAAGAU